rnacentral:rRNA from 1 species
CAGUCGCCGCGGGAAUACGUAAGUGGCAAGCGUUGUCCGGAAUUAUUGGGCGUAAAGCGCGCGCAGGCGGAUAGGUCAGUCUGUCUUAAAAGUUCGGGGCUUAACCCCGUGAUGGGAUGGAAACUGCCAAUCUAGAGUAUCGGAGAGGAAAGUGGAAUUCCUAGUGUAGCGGUGAAAUGCGUAGAUAUUAGGAAGAACACCAGUGGCGAAGGCGACUUUCUGGACGAAAACUGACGCUGAGGCGCGAAAGCCAGGGGAGCGAACGGGAUUAGAUACCCCCGUAGUCCCUGUCUCUUAUACA